rnacentral:rRNA from 1 species
UACGUAGGGGGCGAGCGUUAUUCGGAAUUAUUGGGCGUAAAGGGCGCGUAGGCGGCCCGCUAAGUCAAAGGUGAAAUCCCUCGGCUCAACUGAGGAACUGCCUUUGAGACUGUCGGGCUUGAGGCCGGGAGAGGUGAGUGGAACUGCGAGUGUAGAGGUGAAAUUCGUAGAUAUUCGCAAGAACACCAGUGGCGAAGGCGGCUCACUGGCCCGGUACUGACGCUGAGGUGCGAAAGCGUGGGGAGCAAACGGG